rnacentral:rRNA from 1 species
AUUGAACGCUGGCGGCAGGCCUAACACAUGCAAGUCGGGCGAGUGGCGGACGGGUGAGUAAUGUAUGGGGAUCUGCCUGAUGGAGGGGGAUAACUACUGGAAACGGUAGCUAAUACCGCAUACCAUCAGAUGAACCCAUAUGGGAUUAGCUUGUAGGUGGGGUAACGGCUCACCUAGGCGACGAUCCCUAGCUGGUCUGAGAGGAUGAUCAGCCACACUGGGACUGAGACACGGCCCAGACUCCUACGGGAGGCAGCAGUGGGGAAUAUUGCACAAUGGGCGCAAGCCUGAUGCAGCCAUGCCGCGGGUAUGAAGAAGGCCUUCGGGUUGUAAAGUACUUUCAGUCGGGAGGCGUUAACUACAGAAGAAGCACCGGCUAACUCCGUGCCAGCAGCCGCGGUAAUAC